ACUCCCAUUUGACUACCACAUUUUCUCCCAAUAAUAGAUUUUGUUGGCUAUGCUUGUGGGAUAGAUUAAAAUUGCCAUGAUCUGAAGAGGGAGGACUUACUCGUGUCCUCCUCCUAUAUGAAAUGGCUGAACAGAAAAUU
ensembl:snoRNA